rnacentral:lncRNA from 1 species
CAUUUUAAGUGUUAAUUGCCAUUUUUCUUUAGUUUAUUUGGAUUCAUUAGAUUAGUUUUUGUUUAGUUUCCUUUUUUUAGUUUUGGAUCGUAUUGAACCUUUAAUUUGUUUGGAAUCUGAAUUGCCUUUUCUGCCUUGUCAUUUCUUCUGAAUGUGGAGUUAGUCCUGGGCCCAAAGAAAAGGGAUUAGCCCAAGUCUUCCUAGAAUUUGUUUGGUUUUGAGUCUUUGGGUCCAUUGACCCGUGAAUUUAGCUGGAAGGGUAAUUUUCAGGGCUCAAAGGGGUAGUUUGGGAAAAUUGGUUUAGGGAAUCUCUGAAAACUGAUUGAGGAAGAUUCUAGUAAUACUCGCCGAGGGUCGAUUGGAAGCAGCCUCUCUGCCCUUUCGGGCAGGGGUAAGGCUCGUCUACAUAUUACCCUCCCCAGACCCCACCUGGUGGGAGUAUGGUGGGAGUAUACUGGGUAGUUGUUGUUGUUGUGGAAUCUCUGAAAACUGAUUGAGGAAGAUUCUAGGAAGCUAGGGUGGGGACUAAAUUGAAGUUCUGAAUUUUACAUUAAUGGUACCUAAGCUAAAAUGAAAAUAUCAAAAAGUGCAGAGUGCAAAUCUGAGUUCUUUUAAAUUGCCCUAAUGCCUUGCUUAUAAAGGCACCUUACUUGAUAUUCAAAAAAAAAGAGAAUGAGAUAAAGAUUUUGCAAAAUUGAAACGGCUGAAGAACUUUGGAAGCACACUGAUUUCUCUGAAUUCCCUUUAUGAAUAAUUGCUCAAAAUUCUAACUACUUUGAAGUUGUGAUCCUUUUCAUUAGUAGAAUUUCUUGAAAACUCUAAUUUUGCACCUGCUUUGAAGAUGAUUAUUUUGGGAUUUAAAAGUUGGUUUUGAGCUGAGCUUGUGUAGAGUCCUGUUUCAGUUCGAUAUUAGGUUUGGGGUCUGCUGUGUAUCACUGUUAGUUCAAGUUGAGUUUUGCUGAUUAUUUCUUGAAUCUGGGUUAGGUGAAGUCCUGCUGCUUACUGUAUACUGAUUCUGCAUUUCUUUUCCUUUCAAUUUCCAGGUAUUUUCAGCACCACGGACAUCACUUAAGUGUAGUUGAAGUUUGAACUUGAAAUGUGAUUAAGAACUGAUGAUAUUUAUAUUGAAUCUUUUUCCUUUUCUUUCAAUCUCAUGUAUUCAUGUAUUCAUGUAAUAUUUAGCAUUAGAAAUGUUUUGACUAGUAUAUUGAGCAUGAGUUGAUUGUCAUAGGACGAAAUCGAAGUUAUAAGCAAUUUGAUUCUUCUGUUUAGCAUCAGUUUUGUUGAAAAUGGCUAUAGGGGAAAGAUGUGUCUUGGUUUGUAAUGGCAGUAACAUUUAGGUUGGUUUGAAUAGUUGGCUAGUAUUUGAAUGAUAUAUGAUUAGGUUGGAUCUUGCAUUAAUUUUUUGAUAGUAUAUUGAAAGGUUUUGUUUAAGGCUUAAAGACCAACAUAUUUGUUUAUGAUUUGGUAUAUGAAUUUGAAUAGGACGCAAGGCCAAAUAAUGUUGCUUUGUAUUGAAUUCAGAAACAGAUUUUCCUUAGUUGUGUGAUUUAUAUCUUAUAGCCCUCCAAAGCUUAUUAGUUCAUAUGAAAAUUGUCAGAUAUUUGUGCUUAUUUAAUAGGUUUCAAAGUUAAAAUUAAGUGUUUUAAGUGUUCCACCUGAGGUGUUCCGAGUUUUCAUGCAUUUUGUAUUUCAAUUAGUUUAGGUUGCUCUUGCUUAAAUCAAUGAAUGCCGGAUAAUUCUAAAUUGGAUCAUGUGGAGAUUUGUUUUAAAAAACCAAAGUUUUUGGAGCCUAGGAUGGUUUGGCUCCUCAGAGAUUCGAUCUCUGGUCAAUACGCACGGAUGUCAAUUACUUUGUUAGAUCUGGGCUCAAUUUGGUCCUAGAGCCUUGAAAUCAUUUUAGGAUAGAAAAAUGGUAGGCCUUACUACAUGCGUUUUUUCUUGCUUCGAAAUAGUGCUUUCUCGUUGAUGGCAGCUGCUGGCCCAAAUUCGUUCUAAUGAUUAUCCCUGUUCCCUAUCACUGCAAAUCGGUCAAGCUUAGUUGCAUGAAAUUGAUUUGAGAUUGUCUUAUGCCCUUUAAUCAAUUAGCCAAACCCUUUAGUUAGUGGAGGUGAGUCAUAUUAGAUAACACAAAUAGCUUAUGGCCCCCUAAAGUUUAGUUUGAAUUCCCUUUAAAAAUUGGAAUCGAGUGUGCUGUACCAAAUAAAAUCUCAAAAUGCAUGGCCCUUAUUUAAUUAAUAUUUUUAUUCUUAGAAAUCGAGGCGCGCCAUUUAGCGAAUUUUCCAUGGCCCUUGCAAAUUUGAAACUACGUAGUUGCUUUAAGUGCGUAAUUUAAAAUUACCUUCCUAAACUCGGUUGUGCAUUUCAUGUGACCCAAAUCUAAAUCUUAACAACGUUAAAUAAAAUAUGUCUCGGACUGUGGGUGCAUUUCAUGUGACGCGGUCAAAUGAUAUAUUUUAGAUGACGUUGAAAUAUUUCUUAAAAUAAUAAAAAGCGGUUUUAAAGUAAAUAUGCACAUAGGCUUUUAAGUGUUUUGAAAUAAGAUAAUUAGGCCAAUAAUAACAGUUGAGUGACCGUGCUAGAACCACGGACCUGGGAAUAACUAACACCUUCUCCCGGGGUAAUAUAAUUCCUUACCCGGAUUUCUAUGUUCGUAGAUUGUAAAACAGAGCAACCUUUCCUUGAUUCGAGAUUUGAACCAGUGAGUUGGGACACCAUAAAUUAUUCUAGUGGCGACUUGAAUUUUUUUAAAAUAAAUAAUCUCAUUUCGAUUGUCACUUUAAAUUGGAAAAACUCCUUUAUACCUACCCUUCCGGAGUGUAGAUAACAAAAUGAGGCGUGACAGCUCUGGCGACUCUGCUGGGGAUUAAACCUAGAAUCUCUGGUUCAGGAUUCAGAAUUCGAGCUUAUAUGAACGGUUACAUUGGCUUUAUUUAUUAUCUGGUUUUAUUCACAUGUUUUGGCUUAAUGUGCUAAGUGUUGCCCCUACCGCUAUGAUAUUCUGUGAACUGUAUAUAAACUGCUGUGAAACCUUUCUUCUCCUCGAAUCUUUUAAAUCAUUUGAGAAGGGUGCACUUCGUGUGACUUCUCGUCUUAUACCAAAUUUUAUAACGAGGUUCAGACAAGUUGCAAAGCCUGUGAAGCUUCUGUAUUCCCGGUACGCUACCCCCUCGGCUUGAGCUAUCCGCUCGGGUAAGCCAGGUCUACAACAAUUAACCCAAGUUUUAAACCUAGUAUAACAAAACCUCAUGCCAGAUCCCUAGUAGGAACAUUUGUUUGCAUCACGUGCAUUUGACUUUGGAGGCUCAACACAAGGGUUGGGCCUGUCAUGGUGUACCUGAAAUGAAAAAGACCUUCCUGAUGCAUCCUACUUGCUACUUGUGCAUUUAUUUGCUUCGGAUUUGCAUGUUGACCGGCUUAUGAAUAAUAGGAGAAAAUUGGGGAAACAAAAUAGGAAUAUGAGGGCUAAGAGAAAUUGUUACCUGUUUUGAAAAACAAAUGUCCAAAAGGUACUGAAACUCUGCCGAAAUUUUUUUCUUUCCAAAAAUAGAUAGUUUUGUAUUUAUUUUUGUCAAAUCUACUCGAACUACGCCAGUUUGAUUCUCAGUGGAUGUGGAAUACGUAGGAAACCCCCAUCAGGCCCAAAGUUUCUUUUGCAAAAUAGCCCAAAAAGAACAAAAAAUCUUAUUUUUACUGCAAGGUGAUACCAUUCUUGUCUAAAAUGAAUGCCCAAUAGGGCACCGGAAGGCCAUUUUUGCAAGAACAACCACCUUUGAUCAUUUUUCAAGGUCUUAGACAGUUAGCAAACACAACCUUAAAAUCUUAUUCCUCAAAGUUCUGAAAGGCCAUAUUGGCAAAGCCGGAUAUAUUUAUGAAAAUUUUGAAAACAUAGUGAUAACUUUUUCUUGACUCAAAAUGAGUCAUACUUUUUCUCUUAAUUAAAAUCACCCUAAUAAACAUGCAGGAUGAGCACAGAUGAAAAUGAACCCUUCGCGGCUCUUAAAGAGAUCCACUUACAACUUCAUAUGUGGUGGAACGAUUUAGGGAAAGACAGUAGAGAAAGCGUGGUCAAGGUUUUGGGUGGCCUUAUCGGACUUUGGAACAUCAAGCCAAGAUUGGACGUGAUUAAAGUCCUGAUACCUUUUUGGGGUCCAACUCGCAAUGUGUUUCACUUUUUUGACUUUGAGCUCACACCCACGCUAGAAGAAAUUGUGGGUUACGCCGGCCUUAAUGAAAACCUUAGAAGUCUUUACCCUGUUUCACCAAUACCGGUAUCUCCACACAAAUUUCUCAACAUGUUGAGUAUUAGCCGGGACGUUCAGGAUGGGAGUUUGUCUGAAGGGUAUUACACUUUCCAGUUCUUAUAUCAACACUGUGGUAACCCCCAUCGUUUUGAAGCACCGAACAUUGGUUUGACUCAUGCCAGAAAUAAAGAUAAGUGGGAGUCAAGGCGAGGUUUGGUUUUGAUACUAGCAUUCUUGGACAUUGUAAUCUGUCCCCGAAAGACGGUAACAUAGAGUUGGGCCUCGUAGGAAUGGUUGACGUGGCAAUCAAAAGAGCUAACGACACUUUGGUUCCCCUGAUUUUAUCUGUAUUGAGCUUUAACCAUUUGUCGAGAAGGGGAAAAUUCUUCCAAGGCUGCAACUUACUACUACAAUUCUGGAUCCAAGAGCAUCUCUUCCACUGUCCCGGGUAUAUGAACUACGGUAUGAGCGUUUUAAGUUCCAUCGAAGAAUUUGAGAGCCGAGUGGUGGGUAUUGAAUUUUUCGAGGGUACUAAUGCUUGGUUUGCAUAAUUAAGUUCUUUAAUUUCUGAUAGAAUUGUGUGGAUGUUUGGAUGGCGCUCUGUCACUGAAGCCGUAUACAUUUUAGCCUAAGUUUGUUAUCUUCUCCUUAUGGGCAUCCGAAUCAUCCAGCCGUAUGCUCCUCGCAGGGUUUUGUGCCAGCUGGGCAGAUUUCAAAUGAUUCCUCAUGAAAAAGAUUUGAGUAGACAUGUCGUAGAAUUGAGCCCAAAAGCCAUAUUUUUUGGAAGGGAGAAUUUGCCAGUGUGGAACGAAUACAGAUUUCUCAAACCUAAGACUAUGAUGCCGGAUCUGGCUAGAGGUGAGAUAGACCCCAAGUACAAUAUUUGGGUCGGUCAAAGGUUUCAGGUUCCUGAGAGACCUGCUAAGAGAGCUCAUGUUCAACAAUUCACUAAUGACUCACAGGAGCAGUGGGGCUGGUUGGCGAACGAAGAAAGUUACAGGGCCAAAAUAAGCAAAUUAGAAGGAUAGAUUAGGGACCUCAAAUUUGGUAAGAGUAUCCAAGUUGCCGCAGAUGAAGGGGAAAAGAGAAAAGCUAACUUAGGAAAACGAAUCCCUUAAAACUCAAAUCUAAAAAAUGAGAAUAGCAGCAGAAACCCAAAAAGGAGCCAUGCGGAUGAAAGGUUUAUAAGUAGACUGAGAAAGAAGGUACUCGAGUGUCAGGAUGACCUAGAAAAGUUUGAGGCCAGUCUAGCAAAUGUUUCGGGCCCAAUUGGCAAAGAAUGCCGAAGGGCUGGCACAAUUUGUGCAACUAAUGAAAAGAAAAUAUUAGAGGACAAUCACCAAUAUGAGGAGAAAGAUAAAUACCCUUGAAAAUGAGGUGGACAAACUGGCUAGGAACUUCAAAGCCGAUAGGGAACAUUGUUAUGCUUUAAUGACCCAGAUGGAAGAAGAUAUGCAACAAUUGCGAAAUCAAAGCCAGCGUGACAUUCAGGUGCUAGAAGCCCGGAAUAAGCAAAUCAGACGCUUGCUUCAGGAAAAUGGUAUUGUUCGAGAGAGGGUUAGAGCCAUUGCCGACUAUAUCAUCGCAAAGUGCCAAGCAUGUGAGGACAUGCCUGGAACUAAUUUCUUUGCUGCAGUGAUGACAUUUGUCCUCCAGAUAACGGAAUAUCUCUACCAUCUCCAAAGGGAUUUGGCGCGUAGGCCCGUGGCGACACCAAAUGAUGUCCCGCGAGCCCCAGGAGUAGUUGAGACAUUGAUGUAUUCAUGAUUUUCGUUGGGGUCUGUUAGUCGUUUUUCGAGUCUCUAUUUUCAUCUUUAUGUUCAAGUUUGUUAGUUUGUUUUUGAGUGUGAGUUUUCAUCUUUCUAUUGGAGUCUGUUAGUUCCCCUUUUCAAGUCUGUUAGUUUUUAUGAUAGAUUAAGUCGUUGUAAUCAAAACAUUUUUGUUUUCUGAAAAAUUUAAGAAUUCCAAAAUAUUUUAUUAUUUAAUUUUGCACUUAUCCCACAGAACUACGCUUGGUCUAAUUCAUGGGGAGUCAUGAUACGUAGGCAAUCUCCAUAGGAUGUGAUCAUAAUAAAAAAAUAGAGAGAAAGAAAAAGAGAUAAAAAGGGAAAAAUAAGAGAGAGAAAGAAGAGAAAAAGAGAGUUAAAACAAGAAACUGUGAGAAGGAAACAAUGGCAAAACAAGAGAGAGAAAUGAGAGAAUAAAGAACAACAAGAAAUCAAGCAGAGAAAAAGAGAUAAGGAGAAGUUGCAAAUAGAAAUUAGGGAAAGCCAGGAUAAUGGAAGCAACCGAUGAAAUACAUGAUAGAAAUGAUUAACUGCUUAGGCGCAUUACAUUCCCAAAUGUGCGGUUUCCCAUCUAUUAAGAUCUAAUCGCUAACAAGUUUAUUGUUGAUAAUUAGUACAGGAAAGUGGUUAGUUUGGAAUUCUGGUAACUCACCCAUACAACACCUGGUCCAAAAACAAGUUUAUCAUGGCCAACCAAGAACUUGAUGAAAGCGUUUUCCAUCCAUUGAGAGAGGGGAAGGACUUAGACGUUAUCCUAAAGAAGAGUUGUAUAAGCUGAAACAACAGAUAACUGAAAUGUACCAGGCAAGGGUAAAUGGGCACCCACCACCACCUUACCCGUAACCCCGUUUUUAUCCCACCAUUGGCCCAGUCCCAGGAUCCUCCAACCACUGAUUCAUCUCUAGGCUUUCCCAUUCAUCACGACUACCAUGGCACCACGUCCCAAACACCACAAGCUCCUCCGCCUAAACCAGUUCCAUACCCUCUUGUUUUCGUGACACCCCCACCCGCUACACUAUACUGAUCUUCCAUCGAGAUUUUAUUCUAGGUUCCACAAUAGCCAAUAUUACCCCUCGGAUCCCACUUUCAAGGCUCUAGAACCUUACUUUUAUACUCCUAACUUCGAUCCCCAUGUGGAAACUAAGAAACCAUCUAAAAAUCCUGAACAAGAGAAGAUGUUCAGAAAGGUCAAAAGCCUGGAACAUUCAUUCAGGAAUGUGCAGGGUUUGGGAGGUCAGGUCAGCGUUGCUUACAAGGAUCUAUGUUUGUUCCCAGAUGUUCAAUUGCCGGCGGGGUUUUUGAUGCCCAAGUUGUUUUUGUAUGAUGGACAUACGGACCUGGUGGCACACUUGAGGGGUGUCUGUAGUAAAAUGAGGGGAGCUAGCGGGAAAGACGAGUUACUAAUGGUGUAUUUCGGUCAAAGUUUAAGUAGUUAGGAACUGGAGUGGUACACUUGGCAGGAUCACGGCAGGUGGUAUACAUGGGAUGAUCUAGCCUAGGCAUUCACUUGUCAUUUCCAGUAUAACCUCAAAAUUAAUUUGGAUUGUCUAUCUCUGACAAAGUUUGAGAAAAGCAUAAUGAAAGCUUCAGGGAGUACGGUUUUUGGUGGAGAGAACAUGCAGCAAGGGUUGACCCUCCAAUGAAAGAAAGCGAAAUGGUAGACUAUUUUCUACAAGCCUUAGAACCUACUUAAUGCGGCCAUCUAGUAUCAACUAUAGGCAAGUCCUUCAGUGAAGGAGUAGAGAUGCGCGGUAUGGUGGAAGAACGGCUUAAGUAAAAAAAAAUCAUGAGGUAUUCGGCUAUUAAGGCAACUACCCAGUCCGUUUAGAGCGGUACUGGGGGAGUAAUUAGAAAGAAGAAGAAAGAGGAGGUAGCAACGAUCUAUUCAAGAGCUUGGUUCGGACCUAGAGGCUCAUCUCACCACUAUAAUCAACCUUGACCCUACUACCAGAUCUAUCCCCACAGCCCUUAUAAUCCACCCCAACAUUACUACCCACCACCAGACCCCCAUUUUUCUGUCCACUACUCCCAAACAUACACCCAAACGCCUGCCCAUGCACAAUGGCAUAUGCUAACCCCAGAAAAUACGUACCCACCCUCGCGAGCCUACCGAAACCCUCCUGGACCAGGUUUCUGGCCAGUCAAGCAUUCAAGAAUGAGAGGUUGUAGAAGAAAAAAACAUUCACUCCAUUGGGAGAAUCGUACACUAGUUUGUUCCACAGGCUAAGGCAAUUGGAUAUGUUGAGACCGUUCGAGUCAAAAUUUCCAAUCCUCCUGCGAAGAAUCUUGAUUAUCCUAUAAGCUGUGAAUAUUGUUCUGGUACUCUAGGUCAUGAUACAGAAAAAUGCUGGCACUUGAAAAAUUCUAUCCAGGAGCUCAUUGAUAUUAAUUGAAUUGAAGUCCAAGCUCUGGAGGUACCCAAAAUCUACCAGAACCCACUGCCAACCCAUCAAGAGAGUAAUAUGAUCGAGAUAGUGCAUAAAGGAGGGGAGCCAAGGAAGCCUUCACAGACCGUCAUGAUGAUUUGGUCCAGUGAAGUCAAGUCAACAAGUGAGAGAUCGGUAAUCAAAUUGAACAAGAAAAAUAGUGAACCGUCUGCGAUAGUCAUGGAUGGAUCCUCAAGUGAUGUCACAUUAAUAUAAGAAAGGUUAAAAGUAGUUGUGCCAGGAGUGGAAAACAAGCCUAUCGUAAUUAUGGAAGGUGCUUGCGCAGAUCCUGUCAUUAUCAAGCUUGUAACCCAGUUAUCGAUAGUCAACAUCAAGGCUAUCCCGUGGAAUUAUGAACGGAUGACAGUGACUUACAAAGGGAAGGAAAUGAAUGAAUAGGUCAAUGAGGCCUAUGGACCAACUCGCUCAAGGAGAUGUUUUGCCCUGGAAGAGUUUAGAAAAGCUAAAACCUCCAACGAUAAUAAGUUCUAGUGAAUAAAGAUGUGACUGAAGAAGAGGCUAAAGAGUAUUUGAGAAAGAUGAAGGUCCAAGACUAUUCCAUCAUGGAGCAUUUCAACGCCUGCUCAGAUUUUACUAUUGCCAUUAUUAAUCCACUCAGACGAGCAUCAUCAGGCCUUAAUGAAAAUCCUGAACAAGGCUCACGUUCUUGACGAAAUAUCAGUGAACAGUUAGUAAACAUAGCCAACAAGAUAUUCGAGGUGAACAGAGUCACUUUUUCUGACAAAGAGUUGUCCGUGGAGGGUACUGAGUGGAACAGGGCCCUGUAUCUUACGGUGAAAUGUGAAGAUUCUAUGGUCACCUAGGUAUUGGUUGAUAAUGGUUCCAGUGCAAAUAUUUGCGCUCUCUCUACUCUGAACAAGUAGAAAGUAGACGAUGAAAAAAUUCACAAGAACAAUAUCUGCGUUCGGGGGUUUUACUGUGGAGGGAAAGAUUCAGCCGGUGAUAUAGUGCUUAUGUUGACAAUAGGACCAGUUGAAUUCACCAUGGAGUUCUAAAGGUAUUGAGGUAUUGAGUUAGACAUGUGAAAGAUCAAAGCUAUCCAAGAGUUGCCACCCCUAAGGAACAAAACUCAGGUGAUGAGUCUGUUAGGGAGGUUGAACUACAUCAACAUGUUUAUUACCUAGUUCUUGACAAUUUGUGAGCCUAUCUUCAAGCUGUUGAAGAAGGAUGUUAUAGUCAAAUGCACAGAUGAGUGUCAAUAGGAAUUCAAUAAGAUAAAGAGGUACUUGUCAAAUCCACCUGUGUUGGUCCUGCCAGAACUGGGGAGACCUCUGAUUUUCUAUUUAACGGUCUUGGACAAUUCAUUUGGAUGUGUAUUGGGUCAGCAUGACAUCACCGGCAGGAAGGAGCAGGCCAUCUAUUAUCUCAGCAAGAAGUUCACAUCUUAUGAGGUUAAGUACCCUUACCUCGAAAGGACAUGUUGUGCCCUAACUUGGGUGGCCUAGAAGUUGAAGAAAUAUUUAUCAUCUUACACUACUUACCUCAUUUCUCGUUUGGAUCUGUUAAAGUGUAUCUUUCCGAAGCCUAUGACCAUAGGGAAGCUCGCAAAGUGAAAAAUCUUGCUCAUAGAAUUUGACAUCUUCUAUGUGACUCGGACUGUGAUGAAAGCUCAAGCGUUGGCCGAUCAUUUGGCUAAGAACCCGAUAGAUGAAGAAUAUGAACCUUUAAAGACUUACUUUCCUAACAAAGAGGUGAUGCACAUCAAUAAGUUGGAAAAGGUUGAAGAGCCAGGUUGGAAACUUUUCUUUGAUGGAGUCGCUAACAUGAAAGGCGUUGGGAUAGGAGCUUUAUUUACUUCGGAAACAGGGCAUCACUACCCUGUUACGACUCAGCUCCAUUUCUACUGUACUAACAACAUGGCUGAGUACGAGGCAAGCAUUUUGGGUUUGAGGUUAGCUGCAGACACGGGUGUCCAUAAAGUCUUGGUCUAGGGAGAUUGGACCUUUUACUGCACCAGAUUCAAGGAGAAUGGGAAAUACAGGAGUUAAAACUCAUACAGUAUCGACAGUGUUUGCAUGAUCUUUAUCAACGGUUUUGAUUAGUAGAGUUCAAUUAUAUUCUGAGGAUCCAUAAUAAGGUUGCCAAUGCUUUGGCUACUCUGGCAUCAAUGUUACAUCAUCUAGAUAAGGCUUAUGUUGACCCUUUGCAUAUUCAGGUCCACGAUCAGCAUGCUUACUGUAACAUGGUGGAAGAAGAACGUGAUGGCGAGCCGUGCUUCCACGAUAUCAAGGAGUAUAUUAGGAUGGAGGUAUAUCCAGCACAAGCAACAAGUGAUCAAAAAAGAACAAUUCGACGAUUGGCAAGUGGGUUUUUCUUCAGUCGAGGAGUUUUGUAGAAAAGGACUCUAGAUCUUGGAUUGUUAAGAGGCAUAGAUGCUAGACGUGCCACGACUAUCAUGACCAAAGUAUAUGCUGGAGUCUGCGGGCUCCAUAUGAGUGGGUACAUUCAGGCAAAGAAGAUUCUACGAGCAGGUUAUUAUUGGCUCACUAUGGAGCGAGAUUGUAUCAGUUUUGCACGCAAGUGUCAUCAAUGUCAAGUGCAUAGAGAUUUGAUUCAUUCUCCGCCGUCUAAAUUGCAUACAAUGUCUGCACCAUGACCCUUUGUUGCUUGUAGCAUGGAUGCCAUUGGACCAAUUAAGCUAGCAACAUCUAAUGGGCACAAGUUCAUUCUAGUGGCCAUUGAUUAUUUCACCAAGUGGGUUGAAGCUAAAACUUUCAAGUCUUUGACCAAGAAAGUGGUGGUAGAUUUUGUGCACUCAAAUAUCAUUUGUCCGUUUGAAAAUUCCAGAGAUGAUCAUCACAGAUAAUGGUGCAAAUAUCAAAAAUCAUCUGAUGAAAGAGGUAUGUCAACAGCUUAAGAUUACACAUUGCAGUUCUAUCCAGUAUCUCCCCAAUGUGAAUGAGUUAGUCGAGGUAGCCAAUAAGAACAUAAAGAAGAUACUUCGGGAAAUGGUGGAAGGUUCGAGGAAAUGACAUGAAAAGUUGAUCUUUGCAUUGUUGGGUUAUUGCACUACUGUUCGCACUUAAGUAUGGGCAACUCCUUAUUUGUUGGUAUAUGGCACUGAAGCAGUGAUACUUAUGGAAGUUGAAAUCCUAUCCCUUCGGAUUGUCGCCGAAGCCGAAAUUGAUGAUGAUGAAUGGGUCAAAACCUGCUUGGAGCAAUUGAGCUUGACCGAUAAUAAUCAAUUGGCAGCAGUAUGUCAUGGUCAGUUGUAUCAGCAGAUAAUGGCAAGAGCAUAUAAUAAGAAGGUGUGUCCACGGAAGUUUGAAGUGGGUAUGCAAGUAUUGAAACAUAUCCUUCCAUAUCAUGCAGAAGCAAAAGGCAAGUUCGCCCCAAAUUGGCAAGGGCCAUUCAUCAUAACAAGAGUUUUGUCCAAUAGUGCUUUGUAUUUAAAAUAUAUAGAAGGCAAAUGUGUAUAAAUGGCUAUCAAUUCUGAUGCAGUCAAAAGAUAUUAUGUACAAUUUCUUUUGUUAAAUUGUGUUUGUUUGUACUUGGCAUGUUUUGAAGAUUGGAAUGACGAAGGCAUUUUGUUUUGCUAUCUAAACAGUUUAUCCUUUGUUACUCCUUUUGAGCCUAUUUUAUUUCCUAUCAUACCCAUCUUUUGGAAUCAGUAGUAAAGUUCAGAAAUGCAAGCGCGAAAGAUAAGUAAAGGAAAAAAGAGAAAAGAAAAAAAAUAAGAAAAAAAACGAACAAAAAGGAAAAAGAAAAAUACAACAACAAAAAGAGAAAGAGGAAAAAGAAAUGAGAGAAAGAAAGGUAAGAGAAAAGAGAAAAUCACAAGAACAAAGCAAUUCUUAUACAUGAACUAUGUUCGACCUGAUACCUUUUAAAGAUACGUAGGUUAAACACUUUAUCCUUUGUUACCCCUUUUAGCCUUAUUUAUUAAUUUUUUUGUACCCCUCUUUUGGAAUCAGCAGUAAAGUUAAGAAGUGCAAGCGCAAAAGAUAAGUAAAGGAAAAGAGAGAAAAUAAAAAAAAAAGACAAAAAAAAAAGAAAAAAACAAAAAGGAAAAAUAAAAAACAACAACAAAAAAAAACAAAAAGAGAAAAAGGAAGAAGAAAAGAGAGAAAGAAAAGAAAGAGAAACGAUAAAAUCACUACAACAAAGCAAUUCCUAUGACAUGAACUACGUUCAACCUGAUUCCUUUUAAGGAUACAUAGGCAGCCUCACGAUUUGGUCUCAUCAAAACAAAAAUUCAAAAGUCCCCAAGCAAAGAAACUGGGGCAGAAGUUGUGGUUGUUGUAAGAAAUCUGAUUCAUGUAAUCUUGAACUCAUUUGAAUUGUUUUGAACCUUUUGGUACCCUUUCUUUCUAACUCUAUCUAAAAGCCCACAUUACAGUCCAAAGAAAGACCUUCCAAUCAGUCUUCGAGACAUGUCAAGUCGAGCAAGUAUAGUUGAUUCAUAUCAUGGGCAACACUCUAGUCCAAACAAGGAAAAUGAAAAAUGAGAGAGUCUUAUUGGUGAAAACCCUCACCGGCACUGUAAGGCGAUGGAAAGCUGAGAGAAAUAAAAAAUGAGAGAGUCUUAUUGGUGAAAACCUUCACAGGCACCUUAAGGUGAAAGUGAGUUGAGAGAUAAACAAAUGAGAGAGGUUUGUUGGUGAAAACCCUUCGGGGCACCGUAGGCCGAACAAGGACAAGGUUUUGGUGAAGAAAUUAGGUUUUGAAGAUCUCGGGGCGUAAAGUACGGCAAUUGAAAGUUAAUUGGUUGGACAGAGUGGGCCGAUUAAUCUGAAAUGCAUGUCAUGAUCAUGGGUACCAGCUGCUCCAUUCAGAUAAAUCUCAUUUUUUUCCCUUCACACAAUCUUCCACUUUUGAAUUUUUCUUAUUCCUAACUCUCAAAGUCAUUGCAUUUCUUUUCUUUUGGGUUUAUUUCUCUAAGAUUUUUCCAAUGUCAGUUUGUCUAAGUAAAUAAGAAAGGGUUUCAAAGCUCACUACCAACUUCCAAAAUUGCACCAAGCAUAGAGAGGCCAAAGUAUUGCCAGAGAUAGUAUGAUGUAAAAUGUGAUAUAAAGGGUCAGCAAAAGAUCCAUCGAUGGAAUGGUUUAGUAAUUUCGUGUGAGGUGUAGAGUUCAGAAUGAUGUGUCAGAGAUUUAACACAAUGGUUUGGGUAUAGAACACUCGAGUCGUCUGAGGUCAUAUGGGUAAAAUUCAGUCAGAAAGUCAAGCGGUUCUUGGACAGUUCGAGGAAGCUAGUAAAAGUAGAGCACAACAGCAGAGAGGCCAGGUCCAUCAAGAAUGCCACAAACUAACCACCACAUUUUAAACUGAUAAGAUUUUCUUUGAUUUGAAAUAGGGGCAGAAAAUUUUGUUCGUUUCAGAGAAACCCUCCAUAAGGAAAAGCCAGCGCUAGACACGUUUGAUUGUAAAUUCUCAGGACCCUCCUGUAUAAUGAGACUCAAUUUAUAAUUUUCAGGAUCCUCCUGGAAAAUGGGACCUAGUUUAAAAUUCAAAAGAACCAUGAGUAGCAAAAUCUAGCAUAAAUGUACCCCAAAGGAAUAUAAGUUGCUUUCAAUGUUUUUAUGCUUGAGAUAUAAUUCAAGUUAGGAGUUUUCAGGACCCUCCUGGAUAAUGGGAUGUAGUUUUAAGAUAUGCUUAGAUAAUAAGAUGUAGCAGAAGUAAUACCUUUAGAAGAUACAUUUUAGAUUUAAAGUUGUCAUUUAACUAGGAGUCUUCAGGACCCUCUUUGAUAAUGGGAUAUCGCUUUCAAAUUCUUAGUGAUAUUUGGUAACAUGAUUUAGUUUAACACUCACAGAUGUGCCAAGCUACCAAACUGGGGCAGAAAAGUUUCUUUGUUUUGUCUAUUUUGUUAAAAUCAGGAGCCCACCUGGAGAACAAAGCAAGUCAAGCGUUGGUAUUCAGGAGCCCACCUGGAGAAUAAAACAAAUCAAAUGUUGGUAAUUAGGAACCCACUUGGAGAACAAACAAAAUCAAGUGUUGGUAAUCAUGAGCCGACCUAGAGAACAAAGCAAAUCAAGUGUUGGUAAUCAGGAGCCUACCUGGAGAACAAAACAAAUCAAGUGUCAGUAAUCAGGAGCCCAGCUAGAGAACAAAGCAAAUCAGGUGUUGGUAAUUAGGAGCCCAUAUGGAGAACAAAGAAAAUCAAGCGUUGGUAAUCAGAAGCCCACCUGGAGAAAAAAGCAAAUCAAGUGUCGGAGUGUUGGUAAUUAGGAGCCCACAUGGAGAACAAAGAAAAUCAAGCAUCGGUAAUCAGAAGCCCACCUGGAGAAAAAAGCAAAUCAAGUGUUGGUAAUCAGGAGCCUACCUGGAGAACAAAACAAAUCAAGUGUCAGUAAUCAGGAGCCCAGCUAGAGAACAAAGCAAAUCAGGUGUUGGUAAUUAGGAGCCCAUAUGGAGAACAAAGAAAAUCAAGCGUUGGUAAUCAGAAGCCCACCUGGAGAAAAAAGCAAAUCAAGUGUCGGUAAUCAGGAGCUCACUUGGAGAACAAAGCAAAUCAAGCAUCGAUAAUCAGGAGCCCACCCAGAGAACAAAGCAAAUGAAGCAUCGAUAAUUAGGAGCCGGCCUGGAGAACAAAACAAAUCAAGCAUCCGUAAUCAGGAGCUCUCCUGGAGAACAAAGCAAAUCAAGUGUCGGUAAUCAGGAGUUUACCUGGAGAACAAAGCAACUCAAGCAUCGGUAAUCACGAGCCACCUGAAGAACAAAGCAAUUCAAGCAUCGGUAAUCAGGAGCCCAUCUGGAGAACAAAGCAAUACAAGUGUCGGUAAUCAGGAGCCCACCUGGAAAAUAGAGCAAUUUAUGUGUCGAUAAUCAGGAGCCCACUUGGAGAAUAAAGCAAUUCAAGUGUUGGUAAUCAGGAACCUACCUGAAGAAUGAAGGGAAAGCAGCAAUGUUCUAAGGAAGACGGUUCAAGUUCAGCAAUCAGGCGCCCACCUGAAGAAAGGGAAAGCAUCUCAGAUUGCAAUUCAAGUUGGCAACAAAGGGACUUCACCUGGAGAAUACAAUUCAACAAGGCAACAAGAACCACAAGAUCAAGUUUGAGGAUAUAGAUAGGAUUUUUGUAAUACAUAGAUCAUAGUUUAGUCUAGCUUCUUUUUAUUUUGACAUGGUGUAAUAAGGAGUUGAGUAAGCAGUAGCAGCAACAAUGAAAUCACAACUUCAUAGUAGUCCCAGCUACCGAAACUUCCCAAACUACAGUGACCUGAUUCCUUUAUAGCCAAGGAUAUGUAGGCAACCUCAGAAGUACGAUGCGGUCAAAUUUUUCAAAACUUCUUCCUACGGAGUAUUCAAACGGGCAAAAAUUGCUCGUAUACGCUCACUUUAUCUUUGCAUGAAAACUCUUCGUGUUUCCGAGCAAAGAGGGGCAGCUGUAAGCACUUGAUUUUUGCUCUAUGUGAAUUACUCCUAUAAAUUCAAGAAAAAUAAACUCUUGCAAUUUUGUAGCAAUUUUGCUGUUUGUUUGCAUUUGUUUGUGCACGUUUAUUCUAUUUAAUUCAUGAAAAAUAUACAAAUGUAUUGCAUUUGCGUGUAGUAUUUAAUUUUAUAUUUAUUAAAUUAAUUAGCAAAUUAGUUGUUUUAUAAGAAAUGGAAAAAUCAUAAAAAUAACUUAUUUUUGCAAUUUUUAAUUUUGAUUUUGAUUUUUGAUAGUUUUCCUUUAAUUUGGUUUUAAUUAAUUGUGGUAAUUAUCACUUAGAGUGAUUAGCUUCAUUUAAGUAUAAUUUAGAGUUAGGAUUUAGAUUAAGUUUUAUUUUAAUUUUGAAAAAAAAGGGUACAAGGAAUUAAAAAGAAGAAGUUGAAAAGAGAAAGGAAAAAUUGGAGAAAUCAGAUUUUUUGGGCCUUUUUUUAAUUUUUUCAAAGCCCACUUGAUUUGUGCACAAUACCCGUUUAAUCCAGCCCAGACCUGUCAAACCCGGCCCAGAUCCACCCUUUAAUCGGUCUAACCCAUAAUAUUCCAAAACAACCUCGUUUUAAUAAGACCAAAUCAGGACCGUUGAUCUCUUUUGAUCUAACGAUCCAGAACUGGGGUUUGUAUAGUAUAAGAAUGUCUGAAUCCCUUCAUCCCCCUCUCCCUCGUCUCAUCUCCCAAACCUCCUCAUCUCUGAAAACCCUAAAGACGACGCCCCUCUCUCUACCACCUUGAGACCGGUGGCGCCACCUCCAAUCAACCCCACAAUCACGCUUCCCGAACACUCUCGGCCUCCUCUUUCCAAUUCUCAAAAUGGCUCACCUCGAAUAUAUCCUGAACGUCUCGAAUUUUGAAUCUAAAGUUCGAACCCUAAUUCCCACAACAUCAAAUUGGCAAGGUUUUUAAGG